rnacentral:rRNA from 1 species
GACGAACGCUGGCGGUGUGCUUAACACAUGCAAGUCGAACGGUAAGGCCCUUUCGGGGGUACACGAGUGGCGAACGGGUGAGUAACACGUGAGUAACCUGCCCUCAUCUCUGGGAUAACAGUCGGAAACGGUUGCUAAUACUGGAUAUGAGCUUGCAAGGCAUCUUGUGGGUUGGAAAGAUUUUUUUUGGUUGGGGAUGGACUCGCGGUCUAUCAGCUUGUUGGUGAGGUAGUGGCUCACCAAGGCUUCGACGGGUAGCCGGCCUGAGAGGGCGACCGGCCACAUUGGGACUGAGAUACGGCCCAAACUCCUACGGGAGGCAGCAGUGGGGAAUAUUGCACAAUGGACGGAAGUCUGAUGCAGCAACGCCGCGUGCGGGAUGACGGCCUUCGGGUUGUAAACCGCUGUCAAUUGUGACGAAGCUUUUUUGUGACGGUAGCAGUAGAAGAAGCACCGGCUAACUACGUG